AGUUGAUGAAACAACUUGCAUCAAGUCUGCAAAUGACAACUUGCAGCAAGCCUAAUGUUCUCAACUUGCAUCAGCAUUGAUGCGUUCAUCAGACUUGCUGCAAGUUGUUCUAUCAGGCUUGCUGCAAGUUGAUAUUUGCAGACUUGAUGGAACUUGUUUCAUCAACU